rnacentral:rRNA from 1 species
UGCAAGUCGAACGGUGAAGCAGAGCUUGCUCUGUGGAUCAGUGGCGAACGGGUGAGUAACACGUGAGCAAUCUGCCCCUGACUCUGGGAUAAGCGCUGGAAACGGCGUCUAAUACCGGAUACGAGCUGCGAAGGCAUCUUCAGCAGUUGGAAAGAAUUUCGGUCAGGGAUGAGCUCGCGGCCUAUCAGCUUGUUGGUGAGGUAAUGGCUCACCAAGGCGUCGACGGGUAGCCGGCCUGAGAGGGUGACCGGCCACACUGGGACUGAGACACGGCCCAGACUCCUACGGGAGGCAGCAGUGGGGAAUAUUGCACAAUGGGCGCAAGCCUGAUGCAGCAACGCCGCGUGAGGGAUGACGGCCUUCGGGUUGUAAACCUCUUUUAGCAAGGAAGAAGCGAAAGUGACGGUACUUGCAGAAAAAGCGCCGGCUAACUACGUGCCAGCAGCCGCGGUAAUACGUAGGGCGCAAGCGUUAUCCGGAAUUAUUGGGCGUAAAGAGCUCGUAGGCGGUUUGUCGCGUCUGCUGUGAAAACUGGAGGCUCAACCUCCAGCCUGCAGUGGGUACGGGCAGACUAGAGUGCGGUAGGGGAGAUUGGAAUUCCUGGUGUAGCGGUGGAAUGCGCAGAUAUCAGGAGGAACACCGAUGGCGAAGGCAGAUCUCUGGGCCGUAACUGACGCUGAGGAGCGAAAGGGUGGGGAGCAAACAGGCUUAGAUACCCUGGUAGUCCACCCCGUAAACGUUG